AUGCUGAUGAGUCAUUUCGCUACUUUCUGCUGGCAGUACAAGACUUCGGCGGAAGCCGCGGCGGAUGGGGUGUGCGUCAUCCUCCGGCUAUGCGCGCAAUCUAAGACAGUGAAGCGCGUCAUCCACACCGCAUCGGUGACGGCUGCUUCGCCGCUGACAAAGUCCUCCAGCGCCGCGACCGCGGUGUACAGCGAUUUCAUCUCUGAAUCUUGUUGGACUCUGCUGGAUGUCGAUUACCCUCUCCGGAGCAUGCAUUUCGAUAAGUACAUAGAGUCCAAGGUCCUGUCAGAGAAGGAGCUCCUCAGCUACAACGACGGCGAGAGCCCGGCGUUCGAGGUGGUCACCCUGUCGCUGGGCCUCGUCGGGGGCGACACGGUGCUCAGCCACCUCCCAGAGACGGUGCAGAGCAUGGUGGCCCCGGUAACCAAGCAAGAUCCCUACUUCAUGCUGCCGAGGAUCCUGCAGAGGCUGCUGGGCUCGGUGCCGCUGGUGCACGUCGACGACGUCUGCGCUGCGCUCAUCUUCUGCAUGGAGCAGCCCUCCAUCUCCGGCCGGUUCCUCUGUGCCGCCGCCUACCCGACGACCCUCGACAUCCUAGACCACUACAGCAGCAAGUACCCCCACCUUGAAGUCCUCAGAGAGACUGAUGAAGUAGCCAGGGUGCACCCCGAGAGGAGCAAGCUUUGGGAACUGGGCUUCAGGUACAAGUACGGGGUUGAGGAGAUACUAGACGAAAGCAUCGACUGUGCUGUGAGGCUGGGCUCCCUGGAUGCAUCCAAGCUCAUCGUCCAGCAGGAGUGA
rnacentral:rRNA from 1 species